GUCCACGCCCUAAACGAUGCGAACUAGGUGUUGGGAAGGAGACUUUCUUAGUACCGCAGCUAACGCGUGAAGUUCGCCGCCUGGGGAGUACGGUCGCAAGAUUAAACUCAAAGGAAUUGACGGGGACCCGCACAAGCGGUGGAUGAUGUGGAUUAAUUCGAUGCAACGCGAAAACCUUACCUACCCUUGACAUGUCAGGAAUCCUGUAGAGAUAUGGGGAGUGCUCGAAAAGAGAGCCCUGAAACACAGGUGCUGCAUGGCUGUCGU
rnacentral:rRNA from 1 species